CCCCCCCAAAUCCCCCCCAGCCCCCCCAAACCCUCCCCAAAUUUCCCCAAAUCCCCCCUAAAUCCCCCCAAAUCCCCCCCAAACCCCCCUAAAUCCCCCCAACCCCCCCCAUGUCCUCCCCUCCCCCCCCGCGCCCUCCCCCCCCCCUGGGCCGCUCUCGUGGCCGCUGCCGAGGCUCUGGGGGGGGGUCCGGGGGGUCCCGACGUGGCGAUUUUGGGGUGCUGGGGGGGGCCCGGGGGGGUCCCCACCGUGUUCCAGCACGGGCCGGGACCCCUGGGAGCCGCCACGCGGAAAUUCCUGCCCCACAUCCAGCGGGAGCUGCUCCGCCAGGCCCAAAAUCCCCCAAAUUCACCCCAAAAUCUGCCCCAAAAUCCGCCACAAAAUCCCCAUUUCUCACCCCAAAAUCAGCCCCAAAAUGAACCCCAAAAUCCCCAUUUUGCACCCCAAAAUCUGCCCCAAAAUCCCCAAUUCCCACCCCCAAAUCAGCCCCAAAAUCCCCAAUUCGCACCCCAAAAUCUGCCCCAAAAUGAACCCCAAAAUCCCCAUUUUGCACCCCAAAAUCAGCCCCAAAAUCCCCAAUUCUCACCCCAAAAUCUGACCCAAAAUCCCCAAUUCUCACCCCAAAAUCUGCCCCAAAAUGAACCCCAAAAUCCCCAAUUCGCACCCCAAAAUCCGCCCCAAAAUCCCCAUUUUGCACCCCAAAAUCAGCCCCAAAACCCGCCAAAUUUGCCCCAAAUUCAGCCCCAAAAUGAACCCCAAAAUGCUCCUUUUUCACCCCAAAAUUUUCCCUUAAAUCCUCCCCAAAAUCCUCAAUUUUCACCCCAAAAUCCUCCCCUAAAACCCCCCAAAAUCCCCCAAAAUCCCCCCAAAAUCCCCCCAAAUCUCCCCUGGGACCCCCCAAAAACCCCCAAAAACGCCCCAAAACUUCUGCCCCAAAUUCCGCCGAAUUCGCCCCAAAAUCCCGUCCGGGACCCCCCAAAAUCCGCGACCCCCCCCAGGAGCCCCCCCCGGACCAGGGGGGAGGGGGCGGAGCCCAGUGACGUCACCGGUGAGGGGGAGGGGAUUGGGGGGAUUUGGGGGAUUUUUGGGUGGAUUUGGGGGAUUUUGAGGGAAUUUGGGGGGGAUUUUGGAAAUUUUGGAGCAUUUUUUGGGAAAUUUGGGGGAAUUUGGGGGAUUUUGGGGAGAUUCUGGGGGGAUUUUGGGGUGAUUUGGGGGAGUUUGAAGGACCUUUGGGGGGAUUUUGGGGCGUUUUAG
rnacentral:lncRNA from 1 species